rnacentral:rRNA from 1 species
UUUCCGUAGGUGAACCUGCGGAAGGAUCAUUAUUGAAUACUCGAUGGGUUGUAGCUGGCUCCUCGGAGCAUGUGCACGCCUGUCUUGACUCUAUUCAUCCACCUGUGCACCUAUUGUAGUCUCAUUUGCUAUGUCUUUAUUCACAAACCAUGUAGUAUGUUGCAGAAUGUAUUCAAUGGGCCAUCGUGCCUAUAAAACCUUAUACAACUUUCAGCAACGGAUCUCUUGGCUCUCGCAUCGAUGAAGAACGCAGCGAAAUGCGAUAAGUAAUGUGAAUUGCAGAAUUCAGUGAAUCAUCGAAUCUUUGAACGCACCUUGCGCUCCUUGGUAUUCCGAGGAGCAUGCCUGUUUGAGAGUCAGUAAAUUCUCAACCCCACCAGCUUUUGUGAGUUGGCACUUGGGGAUUGGAUGUGGAGGUUCUGCCGGCCGGUCGGCUCCUCUGAAAUGUAUUAGCGGAACCGUUUGCGAUCCGUCACAGGUGUGAUAAUUAUCUACGCCAGUGGGUUGCUCUCUGUCUGUUCAGCUUCCAACCGUCCUCCGGGACAACAUAACUGAACCUUUGACCUCAAAUCAGGUAGGACUACCCGCUGAACUUAA